rnacentral:rRNA from 1 species
UACGUAGGGGGCAAGCGUUGUCCGGAAUCAUUGGGCGUAAAGCGCGUGUAGGCGGUUCGAUAAGUCUGCUGUGAAAGUCCAGGGCUCAACCCUGGGAUGCCGGUGGAUACUGUCGGGCUAGAGUGCGGAAGAGGCGAGUGGAAUUCCUGGUGUAGCGGUGAAAUGCGCAGAUAUCAGGAAGAACACCCUAUGGCGAAGGCGGCUCGCUGGGCCAUUCCUGACGCUGGAGACGCGAAAGCCUAGGGGAGCGAACAGG